rnacentral:rRNA from 1 species
AGUCAGUAUCUCCUCCAAGGAGAAUGAAAUAAUUCACUUGUUUAGUUUCUUUGCUUAAGAAUUGGAUUGUGCUCAUGCUCUUGAUCUUAUUUUCAUCGU